rnacentral:rRNA from 1 species
GACGAACGCUGGCGGCGUGCUUAACACAUGCAAGUCGAACGGAAAGGCCCUGCUUUUGUGGGGUGCUCGAGUGGCGAACGGGUGAGUAACACGUGAGUAACCUGCCCUUGACUUUGGGAUAACUUCAGGAAACUGGGGCUAAUACCGGAUAGGAGCUCCUGCUGCAUGGUGGGGGUUGGAAAGUUUCGGCGGUUGGGGAUGGACUCGCGGCUUAUCAGCUUGUUGGUGGGGUAGUGGCUUACCAAGGCUUUGACGGGUAGCCGGCCUGAGAGGGUGACCGGCCACAUUGGGAAUGAGAUACGGGCCAGAAUUCUACGGGGGGCAACAGGGGGGAAUAUUGCACAAUGGGCGGAAGCCUGAUGCAGCAACGCCGCGUGCGGGAUGACGGCCUUCGGGUUGUAAACCGCUUUCGCCUGUGACGAAGCGUGAGUGACGGUAAUGGGUAAAGAAGCACCGGCUAACUACGUG